rnacentral:rRNA from 1 species
GCGAGUGGCGGACGGGUGAGUAACGCGUAGGAAUCUGCCUAUUGGUGGGGGACAACUUAGGGAAACUUAAGCUAAUACCGCAUAAGCCCUACGGGGGAAAGCGGGGGACCUUCGGGCCUCGCGCCGAUAGAUGAGCCUGCGUCAGAUUAGCUUGUUGGUGAGGUAAUGGCUCACCAAGGCAACGAUCUGUAGCUGGUCUGAGAGGAUGAUCAGCCACACUGGGACUGAGACACGGCCCAGACUCC